UACCAGCACCCCGAGUGGUCGGGACGAUUAUUGGACCUAAAGCAUCCGUAGCCGGUUCUACAAGUCUUCCGUUAAAUCCACCUGCUCAACAGAUGGGCUGCGGAGGAUACUAUAGAGCUAGGAGGCGGGAGAGGCAAGCGGUACUUAGUGGGUAGGGGUAAAAUCCGUUGAUCCAUUGAAGACCACCAGUGGCGAAGGCGGCUUGCCAGAACGCACUCGACGGUGAGGGAUGAAAGCUGGGGGAGCAAACCGG
rnacentral:rRNA from 1 species